rnacentral:rRNA from 1 species
UACGUAGGGGGCAAGCGUUAUCCGGAUUUACUGGGUGUAAAGGGCGUGUAGCCGGGUUGACAAGUCAGAUGUGAAAUCCACAGGCUCAACCUGUGAACUGCAUUUGAAACUGUUUCCCUUGAGUACCGGAGAGGUCAUCGGAAUUCCUAGUGUAGCGGUGAAAUGCGUAGAUAUUAGGAGGAACACCAGUGGCGGAGGCGGCUUACUGGACGGUAACUGACGCUGAGGCUCGAAAGCGUGGGGAGCAAACAGG